AGAGAACCAGCACUAAUCCUGUAAACGAUGGACUGGUUGUGGAGAUGCCGGCAUUUGCUGUCCAUUCAUAAUUAUGGUAGAUCCGUGGAGGAGUUUAAUAUACGAUAAGACUCCAGUCACAAAGGCCAGAAGAGGCAAAGAUGGCAUGGUCUCUCUCCUCAGUUGCUAUUGGUGAGCCUGAUGGAUCUUCUCACCAGCCAGGGAUUACGUCACCAUUUCCCGAAUUGGCUCCAGAUGAUUAAAUGAAUUCCGCAGCUUCAUUGUUGGGAUCUGGACUUACAACUCUGGACUCAGUCCACGUUCCUAGCCUGUAGACGUACCGACUGCACCAGCACCCUGCUUCCUC